rnacentral:sRNA from 1 species
UAAGUACAGACGCUCCGAUUCGGUUGGU